GCAAGUCGCGGGGCAGCAUGGGGGUUGCUUGCAAUCCCUGAUGGCGACCGGCGCACGGGUGAGUAACGCGUAUCCAACCUGCCCUUCACCACGGGAUAACCCGGCGAAAGUCGGACUAAUACCGUAUGUUGUCCAUUGACGGCAUCUGAUUUGGACGAAAGGCUUAGCGGUGAGGGAUGGGGAUGCGUCCGAUUAGCUUGACGGCGGGGUAACGGCCCACCGUGGCAACGAUCGGUAGGGGUUCUGAGAGGAUGAUC
rnacentral:rRNA from 1 species